rnacentral:rRNA from 1 species
CUGUAAGCCUGCGAAGGUGGCCUGUGAGGGUUGCUGGAGGUAUCAGAAGUGCGAAUGCUGACAUAAGUAACGAUAAAGCGGGUGAAAAGCCCGCUCGCCGGAAGACCAAGGGUUCCUGUCCAACGUUAAUCGGGGCAGGGUGAGUCGACCCCUAAGGCGAGGCCGAAAGGCGUAGUCGAUGGGAAACGGGUUAAUAUUCCCGUACUUGGUGUUACUGCGAAGGGGGGACGGAGAAGGCUAUGUUGGCCGGGCGACGGUUGUCCCGGUUUAAGCGUGUAGGCUGGUUUUCCAGGCAAAUCCGGAAAAUCAAGGCUGAGGCGUGACGACGAGGCACUACGGUGCUGAAGCAACAAAUGCCCUGCUUCCAGGAAAAGCCUCUAAGCAUCAGGUAACACGAAAUCGUACCCCAAACCGACACAGGUGGUCAGGUAGAGAAUACCAAGGCGCUUGAGAGAACUCGGGUGAAGGAACUAGGCAAAAUGGUGCCGUAACUUCGGGAGAAGGCACGCUGACAUGUAGGUGAAGUGAUUUACUCAUGGAGCUGAAGUCAGUCGAAGAUACCAGCUGGCUGCAACUGUUUAUUAAAAACACAGCACUGUGCAAACACGAAAGUGGACGUAUACGGUGUGACGCCUGCCCGGUGCCGGAAGGUUAAUUGAUGGGGUCAGCGCAAGCGAAGCUCCUGAUCGAAGCCCCGGUAAACGGCGGCCGUAACUAUAACGGUCCUAAGGUAGCGAAAUUCCUUGUCGGGUAAGUUCCGACCUGCACGAAUGGCGUAAUGAUGGCCAGGCUGUCUCCACCCGAGACUCAGUGAAAUUGAACUCGCUGUGAAGAUGCAGUGUACCCGCGGCAAGACGGAAAGACCCCGUGAACCUUUACUAUAGCUUGACACUGAACAUUGAGCCUUGAUGUGUAGGAUAGGUGGGAGGCUUUGAAGUGUGGACGCCAGUCUGCAUGGAGCCGACCUUGAAAUACCACCCUUUAAUGUUUGAUGUUCUAACGUGGACCCGUGAUCCGGGUUGCGGACAGUGUCUGGUGGGUAGUUUGACUGGGGCGGUCUCCUCCUAAAGAGUAACGGAGGAGCACGAAGGUUGGCUAAUCCUGGUCGGACAUCAGGAGGUUAGUGCAAUGGCAUAAGCCAGCUUGACUGCGAGCGUGACGGCGCGAGCAGGUGCGAAAGCAGGUCAUAGUGAUCCGGUGGUUCUGAAUGGAAGGGCCAUCGCUCAACGGAUAAAAGGUACUCCGGGGAUAACAGGCUGAUACCGCCCAAGAGUUCAUAUCGACGGCGGUGUUUGGCACCUCGAUGUCGGCUCAUCACAUCCUGGGGCUGAAGUAGGUCCCAAGGGUAUGGCUGUUCGCCAUUUAAAGUGGUACGCGAGCUGGGUUUAGAACGUCGUGAGACAGUUCGGUCCCUAUCUGCCGUGGGCGCUGGAGAACUGAGGGGGGCUGCUCCUAGUACGAGAGGACCGGAGUGGACGCAUCACUGGUGUUCGGGUUGUCAUGCCAAUGGCACUGCCCGGUAGCUAAAUGCGGAAGAGAUAAGUGCUGAAAGCAUCUAAGCACGAAACUUGCCCCGA